rnacentral:lncRNA from 1 species
ACGAAAGUCUCUAACCUUUAGCGGCACCUUCGGCGGCCGAACUUCCCUCCAGAGCCGAAAGUCCAAAAGUUCGGGGGCAAGCUUGGGCAGCCGAAGCCACCUCCUCACACCUCUUCAGGGGUUCGGCGGCCGAAUGUACCUUCGGCUGCCGAACCUGAGUUCAUCAGCAGGGCAGAAACUUGCCCUGCCUCUCACCAAAUGCAUAAAACCCUCUCCAACUCAAACACCUCACUUCCUCCACUUGCAUACACUCAUGUAUAUGCUCAAAGGGGUCAAAAACUAGCUAAUAACCCCAAACACACAACACAAACAACACAAAAACAAGCUGUACACAUAAAAUCAUCAAAAACUCUCAAAAAACCCUAUUCAUGCAACUCUCUCCAUCAAACCCCAUAAAACCUUCAGAAAACAUUAAAACAAGCUCAGGAUCUUCACUUACCUCGUGAAAACAAGUAGAUGAAGGAUCCUAACGUGGAGUUUUGGAGCAACUUGCCUUCAAACUCUCCAAACUUCAAAACUUUGAGUUUUUAGCUUAAAACCUUCAAAUAAUCAUGAAAAC